rnacentral:antisense_RNA from 1 species
AAUAACCAAGAAUUACACUAAGAGUUAAAUUUGUAAUAUUUCUUAUAUCUCCACCACCUGGAGCCCAUGUUUCAUAAAUACCGCCAAAAUAUAAAGCUUUAAAUACUAAAAGAAAAGCACCAGCAUUG